UUAUUUUUCAGGAAAUGGACUUGUGGCAGCUCUUUAAUAACAUGGAAGUUGUACUUGUACCAGUUUUAGCAGCAAUGGAAGACCACAAAAUAAAUGUGGAUAUAGAUAUACUGAAGCAAACAUCUGAUAUUUUGAAGGUAAAACUGAAACAGCUAGAGCAUGAAGCACACAAAGCUGCCGGACAGCACUUCCUUUUAACAAGUGUUAAUCAACUUCGUCGG